GUAACACGUGGGCAAUCUGCCCUUCACUCUGGGACAAGCCCUGGAAACGGGGUCUAAUACCGGAUAAUACUUCCACUCUCCUGAGUGGUGGUUGAAAGCUCCGGCGGUGAAGGAUGAGCCCGCGGCCUAUCAGCUUGUUGGUGAGGUAAUGGCUCACCAAGGCGACGACGGGUAGCCGGCCUGAGAGGGCGACCGGCCACACUGGGACUGAGACACGGCCCAGACUCCUACGGGAGGCAGCAGUGGGGAAUAUUGCACAAUGGGCGAAAGCCUGAUGCAGCGACGCCGCGUGAGGGAUGACGGCCUUCGGGUUGUAAACCUCUUUCAGCAGGGAAGAAGCGAAAGUGACGGUACCUGCAGAAGAAGCGCCGGCUAACUACGUGCCAGCAGCCGCGGUAAUACGUAGGGCGCAAGCGUUGUCCGGAAUUAUUGGGCGUAAAGAGCUCGUAGGCGGCUUGUCACGUCGGGUGUGAAAGCCCGGGGCUUAACCCCGGGUCUGCAUUCGAUACGGGCUAGCUAGAGUGUGGUAGGGGAGAUCGGAAUUCCUGGUGUAGCGGUGAAAUGCGCAGAUAUCAGGAGGAACACCGGUGGCGAAGGCGGAUCUCUGGGCCAUUACUGACGCUGAGGAGCGAAAGCGUGGGGAGCGAACAGGAUUAGAUACCCUGGUAGUCCACGCCGUAAACGGUGGGAACUAGGU
rnacentral:rRNA from 1 species